UGUGGUGGGAGCUGGGGUCCCACCAGGGGAGCCUGUCCGGUGGCGGAGCCCGGAUGCGGCCCGAGCCGGGGGCCCAGGAUGCUGAACGUCCCUUCCCAGGCUUUCCCGGCCCCCCGGCUCCCAGCAGCGCGUCUCCUCCCAGGGGCGCAGCAAGGGUACCUUUAAAACAAAGCAAGAGUCUUAUGGUUUGGAUCCGAUUGACCAAGAGUGGAAAGGACUUAACAGGAUUGAAGGGUGGGUUAAUUGAAGUAACUGAAGAAGAGCUUAAGAAGCACAAUAAGAAAGGAGACUGUUGGGUAUGCAUAAGAGGGUUUGUUUACAAUGUCAGCCCUUAUAUGGAGUACCAUCCUGGUGGGGAGGAUGAACUUAUGAGAGCCGCAGGAGCGGAUGGAACAGAUCUUUUUAAUGAGGUUCAUCGUUGGGUCAAUUAUGAAUCCAUGCUGAAAGAAUGCCUAGUUGGCAGGAUGGCUGUGAAGUCUGCUGUUCCAAAAGACUGUCAUGAAGGAAAGAGUCUUAAAUGACAUGCUUCCCAAGAGCCAAGUGGCAGACACACUGCCUAGGGAAGGCCUCAGUUCUCCAAGCUAUGAUUGGUUCCAAACAGAGUCUUCAGUCACCAUUGUUGUAUACACCAAACAAAAGAAUAUCAAUUUAGACUCAAUAAUCGUUGACCUCCAGGAUGACUCCUUGAGAGCAGAAGCAGUCAUCAAGGAUCAUUCUUACCUUGUACGUGUUGGGCUAAGCCAUGAAGUUCAAGAAAAUUUUUCUGUACGGGUUAUUGAAAAUGUUGGAAAAAUAGAGAUUGUCCUACAAAAGAAAGUGUUUCUCGGAAAUGUCUUGGUGAUCACCUGGAGAAACAUGAUUCCUUCAUUCCAAAGAAAGAUGCAGGCUUGUACUACAGACGGUGCCAGUUAAUUUCUAAGGAAGAUGUCACUCAUGACACGAGACUUUUCUGUCUGAUGCUGCGUCCAAGUACUCACCUUUAGGUGCCAGUUGGACAACACGUUUACCUCAAGCUCGGUGUCACAGGUGCAGAAAUAGUAAAGCCAUAUACACCCNUGUCUGAUUCCUUACUCUCAGAUUUUAAAGAACCAGUUCUUUCCCCAAAUAAAUACAUCUACUUUUUGAUCAAAAUCUAUCCUGCUGGACUCUUCACACCAGAGCUUGAUCGUCUUCAGAUUGGAGAUUUUAUUUCUGUAAGCGGUCCUGAAGGCAAUUUUAAAGUAUCCGAACUCCAGGAAGUAGAAGAUCUCUUUCUAUUAGCAGCCAGAACAGGAUUCACACCAAUGGUCACUGUACUGAAUUAUGCUUUGUCUCACAUGUCCAGUCUCAGGAAGGUGAAGUUGAUGUUCUUCAAUAAAACAGAGGACUAUAUAAUUUGGAGAUGUUAGCUAGAGAAGUUGGCAUUAAGAGAAAAAAGGUUUGAUGUUGAAUUUGUUCUCUCGGUACCUUCUCCAGAAUGGAAUGGCAAACAGGGACACAUGUCACAAGCUCUUCUCUCUGAAUUUUUGCAAAGAAGUUUAGAAAACUCUAGGGCCUUCCUUUGCAUCUGCGGACCAACACCAUUUACUGAUGAGGGGAUAAGGUUGCUGCAUGAUCUUAACUUUUCUGAUGAUGAGAUUCACGGAUUCACCGCUUAAGAAAAAGCUGCCAUUGUCUUUUAUUCAACUAGUUUAUAUUUGUGAUUGCCUAGGAGUUUUUAAAUGAGUUUUUGUACGUACGGAAGGCUUUGCUUUCUGGAAUGAAGUCAUGUGUCUUCAGUACAAGUAACUUCUUGGUUUAAUUUUGUACCAUGACUUAUCUUACUGCUGACCCUGACCUGGAGGGUCAGUCAUGGCAGCAGGUGCAUAUGGGAGCCUUUUGUUAUGAACUGCAAGUUUCCUGACCACUGAAAUUGUAUCACUGUUCUGCAGUCAACACUUGUAUUUUAUGACAUAGUAAACUAAGCAAUCAUUUUGGUCACUUUUUAUGCUGCAAGAUAUCUUCUGAGCAAUAUGUAUUAAAUAUUCCACUGCACUGUUCA